AUGGACUUCGUAUCACUAUUCCCGUCGGACAAUCUUUCAGACGAGAUGAGGAUCACCAUUCAUCUGAAGCCGACUACUCUCCCGUCACCUCCGUACCCGAGGACCCGAUUCCAGUGGCCCAACAGCCGGCUAGGACGCAAGCGGGUCCGAAGAGCACCAACUUCGUCUCAUCCAUGGUUCGUCUCCCGCCUGGUUCAUCUCUCCUCAACAUCCAAGAUUAUCAUAGUUCGCCCGAUGACUCUCCCGUGUCUCCCAGCCCACCUCCUUCCGCAGCAAAGAGAGGACGAGGAAUUUCCGGAACAGAAAGUCACCGUCGCUGCAGUUCGCCACAGUUCGCCGACUCCUUCACCUCCAAGAAGCGAAGCCUCCCGCCAUCGUUCCGCCAACACCGGCCGAACAACUCGCCGGUCACAACGUCUCCACGCUCCGGUCCAUGAGGGGGUCCGUCGCUGCCCGGGAGCGGCGGCGGAUUCUCUACAAGAAUCCCCACAACGCACUCGAAGAACUCAAAAGAACCAAGAUCUUCGACACUUCGUUUUCCUUUGUCACUAAUAAAUCCUUAAACGCAUCUCGUUGAUGGUGUGGUUCUUGCUAGUGAAAGACAAUAUCGGACCACCACUCGUAUACGUCAAAUGAAAAUAUAAGGGAGCACUUCAAAGUCAUGUGCAUUAUUUCAUAAAUGUAUGCCAGAACAGGUGCGAGGUUUAUCUUAAAUUUCAUUGGACUUGGUCUUAAAAAGGUCUUAAAAAGUCUUAAAUUUGAGUGGAAAAAUCCUGGGGGGACCCUGCAUUUCCUUCCUCACCUCCCUGGAGAGGGCCUUUUUCUCAAGAAGAUCACCUGUGAAGAAGGUCCUUUUCUUUUUUUAAUAACGGUUUUGAGCUCCUUAGUUACCCAGGGUUUGUUAUUAGGAUAAACAACAACUUUUUUGGAUGGGAUAAUAGAGUUCACACAGAAGGAGAUAUAGGAGGAAACCGUGUCGCCGAGGACCUCAAUAUUCUCACAGCUAUCAUAGAAACAGCCCCAAUCAGUGCAGUCCAAACAGGCCUGGAGAGAUGAAACACUGUCCUCCGACCAGAUUUGGACUUCUUUCUCUUCAUGCUCAAGACGUCUGAGGGCAGGCUUAUACAUGGGCAUUAAAAACACACAGUUGUGGUAGGAAGCACCAAGAGAAGGCAUGGGCAAUGAUUUAUAAGCGCUGCUUACAGAACCAUGGCAUAGAUCAAUCGUGGAGUUUCUUAUAGUGGUGGCACAAGACACGUAUUGUUCAUAGGUUUUCAGUGACUUGGUCAAGAUGCAAUGAUUAAAAUCCCCAAGGAUAAACUUUGGAGCAUCAGGGCAGAUGAAGUCGAGUCUAUGUGUGACAUCCACGAUCUGCUGUGCCGCUGCGGCUGCGUUGGCAGGUGGAUGAAUGUAAACAAGCGUGAAAAACAGCUGUUGAAAUUCACGGGGUAAAUAGUGAGGCCAGAGUGAGACAGACAGCAGUUCAGUAUCAGGAGUACAUAACUUUUCCCGGAACACAACGGUGUUACAGUACCUCCGAUUAACAAAAAGACACACUCCCCCUCCUCGACACACUCCCCCUCCUCGACUCUUCCCUGUCUCUGGGGACCGGUCAAGAAAAAGUGGCCUGCCGAACCCACUUAUGGCCAGGUCCCCGUCUUGAUCCGCUAGAUGCUAGCAGACAUCUUCCCGAACUUCAGGUUUGAAUUUGGCCCACGCUUCCAGCUCAUCCACCUUGUUCCUGAUGGACUGUUCAUUUGAGAGUAGAACCAUAGGCAGCGGAGGAAGCCGGCGGCUGUUGUCCAGGCUGAGACAUUUCAGUCUCCGACGUAUGCCCCCUCUCCGUCCUCUUUUCCUUCGGGUGGUCUGGUGAACGGGGAUGUUGUCAGGGCUGUAUGGGGUGUACAGUUCAGCCGGUAAGAAGGAGUUCAUGACUGAAGAUAAUGCGACUCCUGGACUUGCCGGGUGCAUCAUGUCCGACUGCCUCAUGGCAGAUAAACGCCAACGAUAGCGUUAUCGCAAAAAAGUGCAUAGAACUGUGCCAAGGAGCCCAUAGUCCAUGUCAGACAUAAAAGAUCUCCCACGCACACCAGUAACAACACUUUCAGCCAGGUAAAAAACAGAGAUAAAAUACAAACACAGACAACGCCAGGUAGACUAUUCGGGUCGCACACUGCAAAGCACCCCGUGAUGACGCCAAGUAAUGUGGGAGUAUGUAUGCCAACCAUAGAUGGUUUGAGGAUUCACUGCCCAUACUACAUGUAUGUUUAAAAUUGAAACAUGAAUCUGUCAAUUAUGUUAAUAGUUAAGUAUUGUACGCAAGAUAACAGGUUUAUCAAGAUUUAUGCUUUUAAAAUGUCCAUUUGAAUAGCUUUUAUGCAUGAUUACAUGCAAUUGACAGACAUUGUUGAUCUUGGCAGGUAUCGGUUUGUUAUGUUAUGUUUAUGAAUGGCAGUGACAUGGCCACCCUACUCACUGUACCUCGCACAUGUUUAAAAUAAAAACAUGAAUAUAUGAACUUGUGUAUUAUUUGAAUAUC
ensembl:lncRNA